GAGGGUAUAGGUCAGUGGUAGACUGUGUGCUUAGUGCACCUGAGGUCCUGGGUUCCAUCCCCAGUACCUCCA
rnacentral:tRNA from 1 species